rnacentral:rRNA from 1 species
AUUGAACGCUGGCGGCAGGCCUAACACAUGCAAGUCGAGCGGAGCGGCGGACGGGUGAGUAAUGCUUAUGAAUCUGCCUGGUAGUGGGGGAUAACGUCCGCAAAUGGGCGCUAAUACUGCUUACUAUUAGAUUCGCCUAGGUCGGACUAGCUUGUUGGUGGGGUAAAGGUCUACCAAGGCGACGAUCCGUAUCUGGGCUGAGAGGAUGAUCAGUCACACUGGAACUGAGACACGGUCCAGACUCCUACGGGAGGCAGCAGUGGGGAAUAUUGGACAAUGGGCGAAAGCCUGAUCCAGCCAUGCCGCGUGUGUGAAGAAGGUCUUCGGGUUGUAAAGCACUUUAAGUUGGGAGGCGUUACCAGCAGAAUAAGCACCGGCUAACUUCGUGCCAGCAGCCGCGGUAAUAC